rnacentral:lncRNA from 1 species
ACUUUAUGCUGCUUUACUCCUGGUGCAAAAAUUCAAGCAGUUCAGUUUGGUGGUUUGAUGGCUUGUGAUCAUCCAUCUUCCUCUUGAUUAAAUUCGAGAGGUUUUCAAUUUGGUAAAAUCAAAGAAAAUCAUCAUUUUUUAGAGUAAGUGGUCUCUUAUUUUUUGCCCAGAGCUGCAUAUCAUGAGGCCAGUAAACUACGAUAAACAAUAGCCCCGGCCCAGAACUAAUCUCUGAUAUCAGAAACACAGAGAGUCUGUUUCCGUCAGCGUCAGAGUGAUUCGACCCGACGCUCUGCUGAUGUUAUUUAAGGUCUCAGGUUUCCCCGAGUGGAUUAAUGAUACAGUGUAAUCGUAUUACAGUAAGAGUUCAGAUUAAAAACAGCAGAAUUCUCUUUACACCAUUUCCUCAUUCCCAACCACCAACCACAGCCCUGACCUUUCUGCAUUCUUUCACUUCCAGAGUUCAGAGAGAACGCAGUGAGGAAUGCGUCCCUCACCGUCAGUCACAACAAGACCAACGACGGCCGUCCCGUUCUGAGCUGGAUCCUGAGCGCCCCCUGCAGCCUGGAGGCUGAAGUGUGGCCGUGCCGGAUGGGGGCGGGGCCGGGAAGCGACUGUAAGGAGGUGCCGGGGUUCAGAGUCAACCAUACCAAGGAUUUGAUAUGGUCUGAGAACAGCUCCACGCUGUGGAUCUCGGGGGAGUUUGUGAACAUCAGCUCCCACAGACACUUCCUGCACUGUGUGAAGUUUAAGGUGGACGGGGUGAUAUCUGAUCCUGUGUGUCAGUAUAACACCCGUAGGUGGCGCUGGAGCGCUCCUGUGCUCGUGGCUCUGCUGGUUUUCGGCCUGGUUGGAGUUGGAGUGUGUUUGUUGAGGAGGAGAAUCAGAGGUCAGUUGAAGCUGUUAAUGAUUUUUAAGGCAUUAAAAAAACAGCAUAUCAUAUUAAUCUGAAUGAAGAACAGUAAAUAAUGUAGGUAGAAAUAAAGAUUCUAAAGUUUAAAAAACUACUGCA